AUGUCUGACCAUGGGUAGGAAUAAAGAUGAGAGCUUUUCUGUUUUUCCUCUACCUUAGGGGUGCUUGAGUGUCUGUAAUGUUGCUCUCUUCCAAUAAGCCUGUUAUUUUUUGCACCCCUGUCAGCUCUCAGUUCUGCUGAGGAAGCCCUGUGCUCCCAGUGAAGUGACCUGUGAACACCACUCUGCUCUGCAGGCAUGUGGCCAGAGGCUGGAGGAUGGAGGGAUCUCAUUACAGGCAUCUGUGGGAGCCCCUCUUCCAAGCUCUGCUGGACUGGAGGCACUGGAUUAGAGUGGAAUGGAAAAAAUACACAGACUUUGGAUUCAGACCCUGGCUCCACAGCUACCAGCUGCAUGACUUUCCGCAAGUCACUGAACUGCACGACCAGGGGCAGGUUAUGUAUCCUCUCCAACUUUGUUUUCUUAAUGGUAAAAAGGGAAUACUCGACUCAUAACAUUGUUGUGAGGAUUAGAAAUGAUGUAAGGUACCUACUAAAGUAUUGGGCUCAUUGUAGGUAAGCCCUGGAAUUAGACUAAUUUCAAAUCCUGUUUCCCUCCUUAUGAACCAUGUAAUCUUGCACAAGUUUUUGGAUCUCUCUGAGCCUCAGUUUCUUCAUCUAUAAAAUGGGGAUAAUAAAAGCACCUCUUUUUUA